rnacentral:rRNA from 1 species
CUCGAGGCCAGAUCUUUCCGGUUGAUCCUGCCGGACCUGACUGCUAUCGGAUCGAUACUAAGCCAUGCGAGUCAUUGUAGUAAUACAAGGCAGACGGCUCAGUAACGCGUAGUCAACCUAACCUAUGGACGGGAAUAACCUCGGGAAACUGAGUAUAAUGCCCGAUAGAACAUUAUGCCUGGAAUGGUUUAUGUUCCAAAUGAUUUAUCGCCGUAGGAUGGGACUGCGGCCUAUCAGUUUGUUGGUGAGGUAAUGGCCCACCAAGACUAUUACAGGUACGGGCUCUGAGAGGAGUAGCCCGGAGAUGGGUACUGAGACACGGACCCAGGCCCUAUGGGGCGCAGCAGGCGAGAAAACUUUGCAAUGUGCGAAAGCACGACAAGGUUAAUCCGAGUGGUUUCUGCUAAAGGAACCUUUUGUCGGUCCUAGAAACACCGAUGAAUAAGGGGUGGGCAAGAUCUGGUGUCAGCCGCCGCGGUAAAACCAGCACCUCAAGUGGUCAGGAUGAUUAUUGGGCCUAAAGCAUCCGUAGCCGGCUCUGUUAGUUUUCGGUUAAA